rnacentral:lncRNA from 1 species
UUCUAGAAGAGAUAAAGAGGUAGAAGAAAGAUGAAGAAACAAAUAAUUUUUUUCUAAUUUAUUCUUUCUUCCCAAACCCUUAGAACCAAAAAUCUAAAAUUUAGAUUUUUGCGUACACACCACGAGAGAGGACUCUCCUCUCUAUUUUUCACAUCAUAAACCAUGCCCAAACUUCCACCACAUGAAGAAGCUCUCUUCUGAUAUCUUACACACAAAAGAAACCAUAAAAGCCCCUUUUAUAGGCAUGUA